AAAUCCAGUCUUGUGAAGUCAGUACUGCUGCCAUGGGGCCCUCCCCAAGCCUGGCAGAAGUCCAGGGUUGCCUGAGGCCUGUGUUCCUGCUGGGGUAGCUCUCCUCUGAAGCUGCUGCUUCUCAAAACCAUUAAAAGUAAACCCCUUUCUAAGAGGCAUCUCUUAAGGUUUGUGAGAUUUGGAAUAAUAUAUAAAAGUGUCUCCUAUCCAGUUACAAUAAGGAACUCGAUUCUUAGGUUAAGAGCUGGUUAUUUGGCGUACUGAUUUUAGUGUUUUCAAACCCUACUCAAAUUUUAGCAUUUAAGAUGCCGAACUAGGAUUAUCUAGCUCUUAAGAUUUUGUGGAGUUUUCUUGUUUUCUUAAAGAGACAAAAGCUGCCUUCACAUUUGAAGGACUUUGAUGACCAUCUUUCUAAGACAUUAAAUAAACCAACUAAUUUUCACUGAUCUCUCUGGAACAAGCUAAUUAUUAUUUAAUCUAUAAGUGGGUCCUUAUCUAUUUCUAAACUGUCAGGGUGGCCUUUUUUUUCCCCCCAAUUCACAGUGGUUUAAAAUGUACAAACUGCACUUAGAGAAUCUGGGCAUUCUCUGAGCCAUUUCAGCCCCAAUCACUCACUAUGUGCCUUUGUUAGCAACCAGGUGUACCAACCCAGUGCUCCAGUCACGGGGCAAAAUCUUCUUGUUUUUUAACUUUUUGACCAAAUUAUAUUUGAAAACUCUCAGGUAGAGUGUGAAUUUGAAGAAGACUCAGGUUUUCAGUGUCACAAAAGGGUUCUGAAGAAAAUUACCACAAGACUAUUGAAAGUUAAAGAGCUCAAGGAAGGUAGGUCUUGGAAGUAAUCUGCAAAUGCAGAAAUGGCUUUUAGCCAUAAAAUAAAACAAAUGCAGGAAAGACUUGUGUUGUCCUACCAGUAGCAGUUUGUCAGAGGUAGACAGAGCAGAUGUUUGAAACGCUAGGCAGUGUUUCCAAACGGUAGGACAUGACCUAUUAGUGAAUUGCGAAACAUACUUAGUGGGUUGCCAACAUAAUUUUCUUUAAAGGCAUGGAAUAGAAAGCACAUGCAUGAGUCACUAGAAGUACAAUAAGAGUUGUUUGG
rnacentral:lncRNA from 1 species